rnacentral:lncRNA from 1 species
UAUAUAUUCAAGUUUAUCAUGACGUCGUAUGAUACCAGAUGCUAAGAUACAUUGCUUUUAUGCGUCAAUAGAAUAUGCGUGUGUAAACAGAUUCUAUAAAGAUGCAGAAUAAUAUUAUCACCUGAGUAAGUUCCCUCUUGGAGAUGCAGAAUAAUAUAAUUUGCCUUGUCAUAUAUAAUACUACAACACAUAUACGCAUCACCGCGAUGUACAACACCCCUAGCAAUGUUUCACCCUGUUAAUGAUAUUCAUCAACUUAGCUCUACACUAAUCAAGAUCAACUCGUACACUUACCCAGCGACUUAACCACUAUAUAGCCUUAACCUCUUAAACUAAUCAACAAUUAUACAAAUUACUAUAACAUACAUCAAUUAACAACUAUCAGCCACUCUCGAAUGAGGAAAAGUAAGAACUCGAAAAACAAGAGCAGAGCAACAAAUAUCCAGAAGAUAUGCCACAUAAAUAUUAAACCUACAAAACCAGCACCAACAAUUAACAAUUACUACCAAUUUACCUAGUUUUGUGCUUAUAAGUAAAUUUCAGAUCAAAUAAGUCAAAUAUCACUUGAAGUUGAGUCACACUUAAAACUGUUGUAACCGAUACAUAAACUUUAAAAUUCUUGAUUCUUAAGAAAUCAAGCAAACACAACUUAUACUCAAAGUAACUAGCCAUAUCAUCUUACCACAAAAACAAAAGUAAUUUAAUAGCUCCUUAAUUAGAAAAGAUUCAAUCUUUCUUUACCCUUUAGUUACAUGAAUCAGUAUCAGUUCCUCAUUCGAGUAAAUAUUUAAAUAAAAAUAUAUCAAACAAUCAUUUCAGUAAUAUUUCCUAUUUUGAGUAAAAAAUCAUUUUAAAUACACACACAAGAAGCAAAGAAAUGGCAGAUAGAAUCUAUACACAUAACUAUAGAUACAACUAAAAGCAUGAAAAGGGCUGCCUUAUAAUUUUACCAAAGACCACCAAAACCAGCAGCUAAAAAAGCACCCUUCUUGUUCUUUGCCUUGAAACAAUACAAGCACUCUGUGAAUCAGCUAACGGGUAUGCCUUUGGGUUCACUUCUCCUGCACUCUAGAAUUUCAAGAACAUAUAUAUAAAAAUUCAAGAAAACACACACAAACAGAGGGUGAGGGAGAGGGGGAGAGAGGGAGGGUAC